rnacentral:rRNA from 1 species
AUGGCCAGGGGGUCUUUCUCCAUGGGAGUGGUGGCCGCGGCGGCCGUGCUGGUGGUGCUGUGCGCCGCCGUGUCGGCCGCAGCGCAGCCUCGUCCCCCACUGCCGAAGAACUCCCACAUGAUCACCCCUGGGCGAUUCGGGAAGAGGAAGCAGGUGCUCUCCUGCGACAACCCCAAGGACGGUUACAGCCCCUGCGUCGCCACCUGCGACAGCCGCUGCCCCAACGAGUGCAUCGUCAUGUGCCCAGGCUGCAAGACCUACUGCUUGUGUGACUUCUACCCUGGUGUAUCCUGCGGUGACCCCCGCUUCACGGGGGCCGACGGCAACAACUUCUACUUCCAUGGCAAGAAGGACCAGGACUUCUGUGUCCUCUCCGAUGCUGACCUCCACAUCAACGCUCACUUCAUCGGCAAGCGCAACCCCACCAUGAGCCGUGACUUCACAUGGAUCCAGGCUCUGGGCAUCCGCUUCGCUGACCACCGCCUCUACAUGGGUGCCCAGAAGACCACCAAGUGGAACAACGAUGUCGACCGCCUCGAGUUGACCUUCGACGGGGAAUCGAUCAACAUUAAUGCUGAUAUUGGCGCAAAAUGGCAGUCCACCAACGUUCCUGGCCUCACAGUCAUGAGGACCACCGUCACCAAUGGCGUGAGGGUCCAACUUAAGGGUGUGUUCGACAUCAUGGCUAAGGUGGUGCCCAUUACAGAGGAGGACUCCCGCGUCCACAACUAUGGUGUGACGGACGACGACACACUCGCACAUUUGGACAUCGGGUUCAAGUUUUUCGACCUCACCAACGAUGUUCACGGUGUCCUCGGCCAGACCUACCGCUCUGACUACAUCAACAAGCUCAGCGUGAGCGCCAGCAUGCCUGUGAUGGGUGGCGUAGCCAGCUACGUCUCCUCCGACAUCUUCGCCACCGACUGCAAGGUUGCUAGGUUCGGUCAUAACGCUGGCAUCUCCAUGGUCACCACCAGGGCCAACUAA